UACGUAGGGGGCAAGCGUUGUCCGGAAUCAUUGGGCGUAAAGAGCGCGUAGGCGGCCCUGUAAGUCCGCUGUGAAAGUCAAGGGCUCAACCCUUGAAUGCCGGUGGAUACUGCAGGGCUAGAGUCCGGAAGAGGCGAGUGGAAUUCCUGGUGUAGCGGUGAAAUGCGCAGAUAUCAGGAGGAACACCGAUGGCGAAGGCAGCUCGCUGGGACGGUACUGACGCUGAGGGACGAAAGCUAGGGGAGCGAAAGGG
rnacentral:rRNA from 1 species